AUUUAACCCCAAGCUCAUCGCUAAUUUGCAGCUGUAUUAUAUCAUCAUUUGUCAGUUUUAUUUUCUGUCUGUUGUUACUAGUAGUUUCACUCAUCCUGAUGGGACCUACGAACUAGUCAUUACUGCUCUCAUCUGGAUGUUUGUAGCUCGGACCUUAGUGACAGGGAACGCGGAACGACGCCGCGUACCGCGUUCCGGGAACUUCGUCCCGAAACGAGGAACGGGAACGUCGCGGAACAUAUCAAGAAACGGUCGCGGAACGUAGAUUUUCAAGGUUAGGAACGCGUACCGUGAGGAAGCCGCGCCGCCGCGCUGCCGUCGUCCGACUCCGGUCGCCGCGCUGGGUGAUGCGUCGUGCGGUCGUCGCGCUGGGACGCGCUGGGACGAUGCCGCGCUGGGUGAUGCGUCGUCCGGCGGCCGCGCUGCCGUCGUCCGAGUCCGACCACCGCGUUGGGACCGGCCGCGCGAUGGAAAGGGAAGGGAAGCGCUGGGACCGACCGCGCGAUGGAAGAGGAAGGGAAGCGCGGGGACCGACCGCGCGAUGGAAGAGGAAGGUAAGAGGAAGGGGAAGAGGAAGGGAAGAGGAAGGGGGAGAGGAAUCGAACCGCGUGGAAGAGGAAGGGGAAUCAGCCGCGCUGAAGUCUGGCCGCCCGUGGAAGAGGACCACUCUGUUCGCGCGUCGUCGGUGGAAGAGGAAGCGUAGGGUUAGGGCCGCUCGCCGCGUUGCAGUGGAGAAGAGGAAGAGGAAUAGACUGGAUGCCGGCGGCCGGCCGCUCGCCACGUUGCAGUGGGGGAGACGAACAGGAAUGGACUGGGAGUGGACGCGUUGCAGUGGAAGAGGAAUGGACUGGGUCACUGGGACUUGGACGCGUACAGGCUACGCUAUUAUUUAAAUAGACUUAUAGACCUCCUCACAAUACCGCAGUACAGUGCCACAACAGCCCAACUCAAAGUCUGAAUACCGCAGUCGCAGACAUGGUUUUCGGUUCUUCAAGCAAAAGAAAGCGUGCAGAUGAAAAAGAAGAUGAUGAUGUGCAAGUCAUCCAAGAUGUGCCUGUAGAUAUCCAAGAUGGUGACGCAGACAGCGGUGACGAAGAUGGGGCUACGACUGCGGCUACUGGUAUGAGACAUCCACUACUAGAUGAAAUUAAUAUUAUUGGUGUUCCGAGUGGAAAAAAUGUUGGUGGAACAAAGGAGUGGCAAUGUAAACAUUGCAAGAAAUCGUACAAAGGUAGUUUAACUAGAGUUCGUGUUCAUUUGCUUGGUCCAUUACCUGGUAAAAAGGCACAAAUUGCUCGUUGUAUGUCAUUGCAAAACGAUCCCAACAAGAGCAAAGCUUUGCGGGAAAAGGUGAAAGAAGCUGAUAGUAAAGGAUAUCAUAUGAGAUCAACAUCAGGGACGUCCACUCUGAAUCCGUUGGCAAAAUCGUUUGGAGUAGCCCAAAGAGAAUCUGUCGAUAUGGAAAUUACCAAAUUUUUAUGUGCCAACGGUAUUCCAUUCAAUGUGUUGAGGAGCCCUCAAUUUUCACAAAUGAUAAUGGCAAUAAAAAAUGGUCCAAAAGAUUAUAAAGGUCCGUCGAGUGAAAAGGCAGGGACAACUCUCCUAGAUGCAUGCAAGAGAAGUGUGGAGACCGACUUAGCACCACUUAAAAGUACAUGGUUGACACAAGGUGUUUCGAUUGUGUCCGAUGGAUGGACGGAUAUUAAAAACAAGCCCCUAAUCAAUGUGAUUGCGUCAAACAGUCGAGGUUCAUGUUUCUUAUAUAUAUAUAAAUAAGCUAAGACACUAUGACUUAUCAUUAUCGGGAUCCCAUCAUUAUCAGUUAUAUAUACAUAUAUUAUAUAUUAUGUAUGUGUCAUUGCUUGUUUUAAUUACGCAUCGUUCCCUGUUCCAUUACAAUCGUUCCCUAACUUCGUUCCUAAAUCGUUGGGAACACGUUCCACGCAUCGAAUGAACGUCGAUCAGCUGUAUACCCCUCAACGUUCCAUGUUGCUUUAACAGACGUACCGCGUUCCUCGUUCCCGUUCCUCGUUCCCAACGUUCCGGGAACCUUGUCACUAAGGCUCGGACAGUAAUCUGUGACUUUAUCUGAUAUGCGCGGUUGAUAAUAAGUUCAUGUGCUCUAGGAAUGUGAAUUUCUAUAACUGACUUUGAGUUUAGCAGCUCAACACCAGCAAACCAUGAUAAUCGACAUCUUCUCAGCAAGAUAUACUUGUUUUGAACAUAGAAAACUCCUUUUUGAUGUGUGUUAUGUGCAAAUCAGAUACUGGAAUGAUCAAUAUAUUCAAGAAAAAUAGCUUCACUUAGGUGGGUUCACCAUGUAUCAUUGUUCAACUAGACUUUCCCUGUUGAACCAUUGCUUGUUGGCUGUUGCACACUCAUACUGAGAACUACAGCAGUAUACUGUUGUGCUGACUUACAUAUUCAGUGAUGUCUGUGCAUUAUGUAACCGAAGUGAUGGGAUCUUAGGAUAAGGCCAUGUAUAAAUUGAGUUGUAGAAAUCGAGAAAAAAGCUAGGGGGGUAAGACUCUGC